AUACAUAACAUUAUAUAUAGAUACAAAAUGACAUAAGUACACUGACUGAAGAUUAGCAUGGCCCCUGCGAAAGGAUGACACGCAAAUUUGUGAAGCGUAACCACAUUUU